CUUUUGGGUUCUAGAAGCUGUGCCGGGUGCAGGGCUAGUCUGGAGGUGGAGGGAGGAAGUGCCCAGGAGGGCGAUGACAUCACCACCCAGCCCUUGAAAGAUGAGCUGUUUCCCCAGCGACUCCAGCUUGCUCCAGCGCCCGGGAGGGGUGGGGACAUCAGGCCGCCCGACCGAACUGAGGGAAGGACUGAGGUGCCAGUGUGGCCCACUCCAAACAAGCCCGGGCAGGGCCUCACUCACGUCCAACUCUGAGUUCAAAUGUUCUCUGCCUGGAAGAGACCAAUGUUCCUGUCUGUUCAUGAGGACCCUGUGCCCACCACAGCCUCUUUCAGGUCACUGUGGAUGGCAUCCCGGACCCUCCUGGAGUUCCAGUCCUCCAACCAGAGCCAGCUCUUGCCUCUAAAUGCCACAGCCUGUGACAAUGCUGAGCAAGGCUGGGAUCUGCUGCAGAGAGUGUUACCGACAUUUAUCAUCACCAUCUGCAUCUUUGGCCUGGUGGGAAACCUUUUUGUGCUGUCCAUCUUCCUCCUGCCCCGGCGGCGUCUGAAUGUGGCAGAAAUCUACCUGGCCAACCUGGCGGCCUCUGAUCUGGUGUUUGUCUUGGGCUUGCCCUUCUGGGCAGAGAACAUCUGGAGCCAGUUCAACUGGCCUUUUGGAGCCCUCCUCUGCCGCGUCAUCAAUGGGGUCAUCAAGGCCAAUUUAUUCAUCAGCAUCUACCUGGUGGUGGCCAUCAGCCAGGACCGCUACUACGUGCUGGUUCACCCCCUGGCCAGCCGGAGGCGGAGGCGACGGCGGCAGGCGCAGGCCACCUGCGUACUCAUCUGGGUCAUGGGGGGCCUCCUGAGCAUCCCCACGUUCCUGCUUCGUUCCAUCAAAGCUGUCCCGGAACUGAACAUCUUUGCCUGUGUGCUGCAGCUCCCGCAUGAGGCCUGGCACUUUGCAAGGAUGGUGGAGUUAAAUGUUUUGGGUUUCCUCCUCCCACUGGCUGCAAUUAUCUUCUUCAACUAUCACAUCCUAACCUCCCUGCGGGGCCGGGUGGAGGUCAGCAGAACGGGGCACAGGGGCCCCCCGGACAGCAAGACCACAGCGCUCAUCCUCACGCUCGUGGCUGCCUUCCUGGUCUGCUGGGCGCCCUACCACAUCUUUGCCUUCCUGGAGUUCCUGCUGCAGGUGCAGGCUUUCCAAAGUUGCUUCUGGGAAAAUUUCACAGACCUGGGCCUGCAGUGGGCCAACUUCUUUGCUUUUAUCAACAGCUGCCUGAACCCUGUCAUUUACGUCUUUGUGGGCCGGCUCUUCAGGACCAAGCCCCUGCAUUCAAGUUGUGGCUUAUAAAAAAUCCUUUCUAGAGGUUGCGAAAACAAUGCCACAUUCUAGACAAGUGCGCUGGCCUGAGAAAUUGGAACCUGGUCAGAGGCCUGGAGCUCAGCAGUGGAUUGUCAACACGGCCUCUGAUAAGCCAGACACCUGAUUUAUGGGGCGCCCUUAACAUUUACCAAAGCACCGUGAACAGCCGGCGGGGGGAGAGAGACACUGGGAAUCCCCACGGUCUUGGCCGGGCUUACGCAUGCAUCUGUGAUCAGCAGCUGGUCACCUGGCAGCUCCACUUCAGGAGGUAGACCUUGGGAUGCAACAGAUGCAAGGCCAAUCUCAGAUGGAGUUAAAAACCACCAAUGGAUUAGGCAUAAUGGUGGUACGCCAGGACCCAGCUCAAACUGGCCUCUCCAAACUAAGGCAAAACCAGCGUGAGAUCUAGAUCAGGUGCCUGCUCUUCUACUCUGGCUAGCCCCCUGGCCUGUAAAGUGGCUCCCUAGAAAAUGUUUCCUGGAGACACCUUGUCUCUUGAAUGAUGGCUUUGCCCAGUGUCGGUGGAGGUGGUGGGAGGGGCGGGGAAUCCUUCCCACUCUUCCGCGAGAGGCACAGCUGCUGCUCAGUGACAGCUCUGGUUGUCCCGUGUUCUAGGAAAUGAGGGAUUGGACUUCUCCCACUGCUGAGGCUAAGGGUGGCCUUCUCACCCCUUUGGCCAGUGUGAGGGGACUUGAGUGUCACUUCUAGGUAGAAGCAUUUAAGGGCACAGUCCUCCACGCUCUCUUUCCUCUGCUGUAUCGAACUCUGAAGGCAUGUCUCAUGAUGGUGGUGUCUUUAAGAUGUGGGGAUCCCAUCAGCCUGGAGCCCUGAGUGACUAGAAGGGCAGAGCCCCCUAUAAACCUGCAUUAAGCAUGCAGUGUGGAUGAGAAAUGAACCUUGGUUGGCUUAGGUCACAGAAAGUGGAGGAUGUUUGUUACAGCAGCGGAACCCAGGCCAUCCUGACUGAUAAACCAGCUUCCAGUGAGGAGGGAUUGCUGCCUAUGCUCUGGGGCUCCUGCCCACCCCUUACUCCUCUCUAUGGAAGAAAAGAGCGCUGACCGGCCAGUUUCAAAACAAGAAACUGGUAGAGCUGACUACCUUCCGCCUUCUCUCUCUUUGGAAAGACUCGGUGGACUCUGAUCUUCCCUUGGCCGUGAAUAAGCUUGGUGAUAGAGGCUCUGCCCCAGUGGGAAAAAGCGUCAGUAUUGCCUGGGCCUGCAUGGGUUAGCUGGCCUGACUCUGGGGUUCAGAACUGAGAAGCCCAUUGUUGCCACACGCCUACGUGACAUCAUCCAACGGAACGUUUCCCAGCAGCUCCCAUCUGCUGACUCCUGUCCGCUUCACUUAGGUCCAAACUCAUGCAGGAAAAUAAGGAUUUUCCUAAUCUAUUUUGCCUAAUCCUUUCUCUAAGCGACUCAAAUUCCAAACAUCUGUCACUCCUGAGACAAAAAUGUGGAAGCUCAACGGUGAAAUGCAAAUCUGACUCCUGAGAAUUUUCACAAAAGCCUUAGUAACAUCAUAAGUUUUUAUUUGGGGUUUCUUGGCCUGAUGGACAUUUGGAGAUACACAGUUCUCUGUGGUGGGGGAGUCCUGGGCCUGGUGUGAUGUGCAGCAGCCUCUUAGGCCUCAACCGCCAAUGCCAGAAGCAACCACUCUCCCCCAAAGUGACAACCAAACCGUCCAGAGAUAUUACCAAAUGUUCUCUGGGAGCAAAAUCCCCACCCCCCAUUUGAGCUGACCUGAUCCAGUUGUUGUCAACAAUGACCUCAAGGAAAGCCUGGUGGUCUGGGGAGACUUCCUGGAGGUGGUGGGAUGUCACUCUGGAAGGACUGAACCGAACAAAGGCACGGGGAGCAGCCACGGCAGUGGGAAAGCAUGAGCACGGGGAGGCUUGGAGGCAGGCACACCCAGAGAUGGCAGCAGGGCAGGCGGACCAACGGAUGUCAGCCGGGAUGAUCAAAGAGCUGAACAUGUAACAUCACUCACGACCGUCCCUGGCAUCCUUGCUCAUACAAUGAAUGUCUGCUGGCAUCAUCACAGCAGCCUCUCCUCAAGACCAAACGGUGACGUCAGUUUAUAGCAAUUCUCCAUUGUUGAUUCUGGCAUCACCUCCUGGUGUUUAACCAAAAAUAUCUCCAGCAAGGCCUGGUGGCUUCUCUCAAUGGUGUUUUCCCUUCCGUCAACCUUGUGAUGUCGGGUGGGGGGCAGGGCGAGAGUGGGAGCAGGUGAGUAAAAGAAGGAAGAAUGAGAUUCAGUCAUAAUGAACGAAAG